rnacentral:rRNA from 1 species
UCGCCUUUUGAUUAUAUAUAAGGUUUAACCUGCCCACUGAAUAGUUAUUGAAGGGCCGCGGUAUUUUGACCGUGCAAAGGUAGCAUAAUCAUUAGUCUUUUAAUUAAAGGCUGGAAUGAAUGGUUGGACGAGGUGUUAACUGUCUCAUUUAAAUAUAUUAAAAUUUAACAUCUUAGUGAAAAGGCUGAGAUUAUAUUGGAGGACGAGAAGACCCUAUAGAGCUUGACAAGGAGUCCUAAAAAUUAUUUAGCAGUAUGUAAAUUUUUAUGUAUAACUUGUUUUGUUGGGGUGACAGGAAAAUAAAGAAACUUUUCUUAAUUUAAAUCACUGAUGAGUGAAUAGUAGAUCCAUUAAUAAUGAUUAUAAAAUUAAGUUACCUUAGGGAUAACAGCGUAAUCCUUCUUGAGAGUUCUAAUCGACAGAAGGGUUUGCGACCUCGAUGUUGGACUAAGGGAAAUUUUGGGUGUAGAUGUUCAAAGUUUAGGUCUGUUCGACCUUUAAAACCUUACAU